rnacentral:rRNA from 1 species
GACGAACGCUGGCGGCGUGCCUAAUACAUGCAAGUCGAACGAGUGGCGGACGGGUGAGUAACACGUGGGUAACAUACACACCGAGGGGGAUAACACUUGGAAACAGGUGCUAAUACCGCAUACUGAUGGAUGAACCCGCGGUGCAUUAGCUAGUAGGUGGGGUAAAGGCUCACCUAGGCGACGAUCUCUAGCUUGCCUUGGAUGAUGAGCAGCAACACGGGGACUGAGACAAGGCCCAGACUCCUACGGGAGGCAGCAGUGGGGAAUAUUGCACAAGGGGAGCAAGCCUGAUGCAGCCAUGCCGGGGGUAUGAAGAAGGCCUCAGGGUUGUAAAGUACUUUCAGCGGGGAGGCGUUACCCGCAGAAGAAGCACCGGCUAACUCCGUGCCAGCAGCCGCGGUAAUUC